rnacentral:rRNA from 1 species
GACGAACGCUGGCGGCGUGCUUAACACAUGCAAGUCGAACGGAAAGGCCCUGCUUUUGUGGGGUGCUCGAGUGGCGAAAGGGUGAGUAACACGUGUGUAACCUGCCCUUGCCUUUGGGAUAACUUCAGGAAACUGGGGCUAAUACCGGAUAGGAGCUCCUGCUGCACGGUGGGGGUUGGAAAGUUUCGGCGGUUGGGGAUGGACUCGCGGCUUAUCAGCUUGUUGGUGGGGUAGUGGCUUACCAAGGCUUUGACGGGUAGCCGGCCUGAGAGGGUGACCGGCCACAUUGGGACUGAGAUACGGCCCAGACGCCUACGGGAGGCAGCAGUGGGGAAUAUUGCACAAUGGGCGGAAGCCUGAUGCAGCAACGCCGCGUGCGGGAUGACGGCCUUCGGGUUGUAAACCGCUUUCGCCUGUGACGAAGCGUGAGUGACGGUAAUGGGUAAAGAAGCACCGGCUAACUACGUG